UGUCCGUUCCGUAAAUAAUGAGUUCUGGCAAAUCUCGAGACGUUUCUUAUCGAGUGUGGGACCCCACUCGAUUAGCCCAGUCCCGUGGCACAAUCCAAUCCAUUCAAUAACCGGCUUAUCAUGCUGGAUCUUCAGCUAAAGAAUUAACCAUCACCACGAAUGGGACAGUUUCUAUAAAUGAUUCGAGCGACUUUCGGAUUUAUGACUGGACUAAAUUUAGAGAAUAUUGUAGAGUAUUCCCGGCGAUGGCAAUCUAAUCAGGCGACACGCCCACUUCAGAAGUGCCAGUGAUUCCUCCCCUGAUGGAUGGAUGGAUGUGAUUGUGAAUGCGAAUCUGUUACACUAACAAGCCUUAUCAUCUGACAAAUGGCAAACAGUCGAGCGAUCUCCCGCCAGUCCGCUUGACGUCAGUGCACUGCGGGAGAGGAGGAGCGGCAUGCGGGAGGGUAUUCUGCCAUAUGGCUCACCCUUUUCCGUUUCGAGCUCAGUUUUAGUCUAAUUAAAAUGCAUUCCGUUCUUACAAGCCACAUAAACAUCAGUCGAGCUGUCUAUCAGUCAGAUGCGUGUCGUUACGUAUACGCCAGGUGUAACCAAACAAAAACGCUCUAAACAGGGCUAAUUGUGUUCCGUGCAAGGGUGUAGCUGUCACCCGUUUUGGCCAGAAUACGAUUUCGGCUCCUUUGGCCUGCGGUUUUUUCCGCUGUUAAUCAUGAUGUCCCCGCACGGACAUUGUUUGAGGUGUGUUGGCGCCAACAACCUUUUAAUACGGUCGGCAAAUGUGUGUCUAUGAUUUGCAUCUGAUUCGACCCUAUCUGGGAGGGUAUAUCUACGUAGGUAUGCAGCUUGCAUCCAGCUUUUUCCCAAGAUAUACCAGCACUAAUGGUUAUACAACUAUCCCUCCCAUAUAACACCGAAUAUGCUAUUGUUUACUGAUUGUCCACUUGAUCCGCAUCUGUUCUAUUCAUCACCCAAUAAAAACCAAUUGAAAAGAGUAUCCGCAGUUCGCUCGCUCGCCCGCCGAUUGUGGCGCAUUCAAAUUAGAAAAUAUAUUGAAAUUUAUAUUUGUGCUGUCUAAGCGUUUGGGCAAACGUCUCAUUACAGCGAGGAAUUGUGUGAAUUUCUAAGGCAUAUUUGAGUUACCAUCUGGAGACAUAAUUGAAUUGCGCCCAAUCAGCUUCAAUUGUCCGCAUUGUGGAUCGAUCGAAUGGCAAUUAUCAUGGCAUCAGCACUGGAAACUUUAUCGAACUCUGGGAAUCGUUGUGGGUGUGUACAGGGCUGUGGGCGUGGCAUUUUAUUAACACCCCCGAUAUGAUUCUGGGGUCUGUGUCUGUUUCUGUCUCUGGGUCAGGCACUUGGCAAACAGUCAAAGAGGAAGAUGCGACACUAAAAAUGUAUAUUUUCCGCGUAUAAUUCUGUUUUAAUUGCGGCCACUAAGAAUAGAACGUCUUCAUUUGGACAAGGUGCGAUCAUCGCUCAGGAAGAGCCAUUUCCGCCGGAGGUUAUCCCCAGGCCUGCACCCGUAUCCCGUCGAAAAAGAUUGCCUUGAGUCACUCGACAAAUCUGCGUCCGCUGGUCGCACUGCGACUGCAGAAUCUUAUCUAGUGAAAGAUUUGGUAUAUCAUAAAAAAAGAGGCGUUCUGAUUUAUCAUCCCCCAACUGUGACAUCAUUUUGCCGGACAAGAGAUGGAUUCCGAAGUGUUUUCUAGGAAGAUCCAAAGAUCAUAUUCGCAAUACAUACCUACAUAGUUUGACGGAGGAGUGUCGUGAAACACGGGGCGGACGAGCAGACGAGGUGAAUAUAAAUAUCAUUUGUGGAAAAACAACAAACAGCAUUGAGUAUUUGCGUUAACAGUGCGAAAUGAUUAACGCGAUAACCUCCGCUGGGGCACACAGGCCCCAACCACAAGUGGCAAAGAGAGAAGAAUAGAGAGCACAAAUCGAUGGGAGGGGGGAGUGAGAGAAAGGGGGGAGCUACAGAGAGAGAGAGAGAGAAAACAACAAUGUUCGAGGCGGCGCCGCACUGUGUUAAUUUUUGUUGCCAUUUUGCAGCUUGACUUUUUGCACACAGGCAGGCCCCAAUCCAACACACACAUACAGUUAUGUGCUCUCCGACAGAGCUCCCACUCUCUCUCUCCCUCUCUCUUUGUGUCUCUCUUGAUCUUUGAUCACGUUUCCCGCACACGACGGCACCCGAGUCGGGCACUCGGCGCAA